CAGCUCCCUGGUGGCAAUCGCCAUCAGCGCGGGCUUCAGGGGUCGCACCGAACUCAUUUUGAGGAAGGAAAUAGCUUUUGUCGAAAUAGUCCCUUGCUCAUUGGUGCUCUAAAGUGGCUGCGGUUUGCUCCUCAAAAAAGCUCUGCAAAUCGAAAAUCGAACUGCGUGCAUAUGCUAACCGUUUGAAAAUACCUCGUCGACUGCCAAAUUGAUAUACGAGUAACAUGCGGAAUCAACGUACUUUGCCUGAUCAUAAGCCGAUUUAACAAUGCACGAAGACUUUUGUCGGGAGGGUGGUUGUGGGGGAGGUGCGAAGUGGUGGGUGGUGGUGGUGUGGGUUGGUGGGUGGUACCAGGCUAGCGCCUGCUGUAUUCCAGUGGGUUCACUUCGUUAUGGGUCGCUUUGCGAUUGAUUGUCUUAAUUGGCUUUGGAUUUAUUUUUUGAGUGCAGGCGACUGCGGUUUUUGCUGGCCCAGAUAUGAG